UACGAAGGGGGCUAGCGUUGCUCGGAAUCACUGGGCGUAAAGCGCACGUAGGCGGAUCUUUAAGUCAGGGGUGACAUCCUGGAGCUCAACUCCAGAACUGCCUUUGAUACUGGGGAUCUCGAGUCCGGAAGAGGUGAGUGGAACUCCGAGUGUAGAGGUGAAAUUCGUAGAUAUUCGGAAGAACACCAGUGGCGAAGGCGGCUCACUGGUCCGGUACUGACGCUGAGGCGCGAAAGCUAGGGGAGCAAACAGG
rnacentral:rRNA from 1 species